UUUCUAACAUCGAACAUAAUCGACCAGAACGAAACAGACGAAAAAUGAUUAAACACCCUGUGCUAUAAAAAGCUCCGCACUAAAUUACGCACACAUAUGAACACCCGUACAGCAGCGAUAGAAACGUCAAACGUAAAGUAAACAGUGAUUAAGAAGAGUGUGUUUUGUGCUACAGGAUAGUAAAUCGGAAAAAACAGAGCCAUAUCACCGCCCCCAUCGGCACCCGACGGACGGACUAGACUACCCGGGUACGAGUAGGGUCUGGAGGAAAAUAUUGAGGUAGAACCGGACAUCGAGGGAAAAAGUGAACAGGAAAGAUGACUUCCAAUUACAGGUAAGAUUUCGAACAUAAACUAAUAUUUUUAAAUUUUUAGGAUAGCCGGAGAACUGGAAUGAAAUUUUGCACCGAAGGACGGCUGCAGCGGCUUGCUAGCAGGACGGCAGCGAGCCAUAAAAUUUUUCAACUAUAAAUUUACCAAGAUAUAAAUUUUUCAACCAGACAAAAAUUUCAGAAACUAACAAUAUUUUUAAGCAAACCAUGUUAACUAACAUAAAUAAUUAACUAACUAAACAAAUGAAUAAAUAACAGAUAGAGAAAUAAAUAAAUUAACCCUAAUUCAGCAACCAUAUAAACAUCUAAAUAAAUAUUUACUUAUAUUCUAAAUAUUAAUAAAUAAAUAACAUGCAAUUAAAUCUACUAUUUACAAAUUAAACUUACCAUACUAACUCAAAAUAAUAAAUUUAAGUAGCAGGACAAUUUAAAAAUAUACAUAGCGUUAGGUACUAACUUA